CCGGUGGCGAAGGCGGCCCCCUGGACAAAGACUGACGCUCAGGUGCGAAAGCGUGGGGAGCAAACAGGAUUAGAUACCCUGGUAGUCCACGCCGUAAACGAUGUCGAUUUGGAGGUUGUGCCCUUGAGGCGUGGCUUCCGGAGCUAACGCGUUAAAUCGACCGCCUGGGGAGUACGGCCGCAAGGUUAAAACUCAAAUGAAUUGACGGGGGCCCGCACAAGCGGUGGAGCAUGUGGUUUAAUUCGAUGCAACGCGAAGAACCUUACCUGGUCUUGACAUCCACAGAACUUUCCAGAGAUGGAUUGGUGCCUUCGGGAACUGUGAGACAGGUGCUGCAUGGCUGUCGUCAGCUCGUGUUGUGAAAUGUUGGGUUAAGUCCCGCAACGAGCGCAACCC
rnacentral:rRNA from 1 species